CAUGCGAGUCGUGAGGGUUCGGCCCUCGGCGAACGGCUCAGUAACACGUAGAUAAUUUGCCCUUAGGUGGAGGAUACCCUCGGGAAACUGAGAAUAAUACUCCAUAGAUUUAGAAUGCUGGAAUGCUUUUAAAUUGAAAGAUUUAUCGCCUAAGGAUAAGUCUGCGGACUAUCAGGUCGUAGUUAGGGUAAAUACCUGACUAGCCUACGACGGAUACGGGUUGUGAGAGCACUAGCCCGGAGAUGAUAUCUGAGACACGAUAUCAGGCCCUACGGGGCGCAGCAGGCGCGAAAACUUCGCACUGUGCGAAAGCACGCCGAGGGAAUCCCAAGUGCUGGCUCGUAAGAGUCAGCUGUUUCUUUGUCUAAAAACAGAGAGAGUAAGAGCUGGGUAAGACGGGUGCCAGCCGCCGCGGUAGUACCUGCAGCUCAAGUGGUGGCCGCUAUUAUUGGGCCUAAAACGUCCGUAGCCGGUUCUAUAAAUGCCAGGGUAAAUCGUACGGCUUAACCGUACGAAUUCCGGGUAGACUGUUUAACUUGGGACCGGGAGAGGCUAGAGGCACUCCUGGGGUAGAGGUGAAAUUCUGUAAUCCUAGGGGGACCACCAGUGGCGAAGGCGUCUGGCUAGAACGGGUCUGACGGUGAGGGACGAAGCCCUGGGGAGCAAACGGGAUUAGAUACCCCGGUAGUCCAGGGUGUAAACGCUGCUCGCUUGAGGUUAGUCGGGCUCCGAGCCCAACUAGUGUCGGAGAGAAGUUGUUAAGCGAGCUGCCUGGGAAGUACGGUCGCAAGACUGAAACUUAAAGGAAUUGGCGGGGGAGCACCGCAACGGGUGGAGCGUGCGGUUUA
rnacentral:rRNA from 1 species